CAAUUUAUAAAAGGCAAAACUAAAAAGAUACAAUUUCUCAAACGAAAAUAUAAGUAGUCAAACGCUUAUUUUUUCCCCCAAAUUAGUGAGCGCUGAUAUUAGGGUUUCCCAAAUGCCUUAUAAGAAUUCCUCUGAAGUAAUUGCGGCAAUGUUUUCACUCGCUUUUUACUUCCUUCCAUGUUUAAAGGUAUAUAACUCUUCUACCACAUAUAUACGGGUCCCAGUAGAAGACAGUACCGGUUGAUGUCAGAUCAGGAGUUGAUGAGGCGGCAAUGCUUUAGGUCAUGUUGAACAGCACUGCCUUAUGAGUGCAUUAUCCUCCCUGUGUUUGAAGCAUAACCCAACAGGGAUUAUUCAUUAGGUCUGGUUUGAUGCUUAGGUAGAUUUCUAAGAACCUUUUAUCCAAAUGAAUUUUUUUGUUUUGGUAUGUUUUUAGCUUGUCCACGCUAGACACAAAACAUCAAUAUAAAGUGUCUUAGUUAUGUUGUUUUUGAAUUUCACUGGCUCUAGUAUUCUGUUACUUUAAUAUUUUUUUCCAAAACCACUGCCUUCAUUAUGAAAAGUAGAUUAAUAUCUUAAAUGUUUUUGUAAUUUCCAUGACAAAAGAGUGUUAUAUGAAGAAUAAGAGAAAAUAGGGGAAGAGUGUCAUAAACUCUUAUUACCUCGUAAAUAAGUAUUGUACAACUUAUUACUUCUCUUAGUGUUAGUGUCUAAUUACUGGUCGGUCAAACACUUGUAUGAACUAAGAAGUAGUAGUCGGGGAGUUGAUCAAUCAUAACGACAAAAAUUUGUGGAAACAAAGUUUGGGACUUUGAUCCAAAUGGAAUUUUGUUUGCUUUUACUACUUAAACUAUGAGACAAAAAAUAAAUACAGACAAAAAGUAUAUAUAUUUAUCUUGUCUCCUUAAUUAGUAAUAUGUGAAUUUGUUGUGCAUUUAUAUUAUAUUGAAUAUAAAAUAAUGACGAAGAACAAGAAUGACAUGCAUCUGUUAAUUCAUAUGUAAUAGACCAUAGCACUACAUCAUCACUAAAUCGUAGUUCAUGCAGAAGAUGAUUUUGGUUGCUCUGAAUUAAGAUUAUGGUCAGACAAUUUUUUAUUAUAUUUAUUUUUAAAAAGUUUUAAUGGCUGUAAACGAGAUGAAGCAGUCACUGUUGAUUGUCCAUAUAUGAAUAUUUGGUGUGUGUGUCAAAAGUCCCCACUAGUUUUGGGUGGCAUUACUCUUAUUGAUUCAUAUUAUGCAGUUUGAUGAACAAAAGGAUCGAGUCACACUUUACUGUUCUCAAAAGGUGGUAUUGUUAGACCUUGAACGACCUUCUCUGAUAAGAUUAAGGCAUGUUAUAUUUUUAUUUGUUCAUCGUGCUAGUAUCAAUCUCCAACUGAAGAAAUUUGAAUGACUAAACACACUUGUCAAUAAAAAUUAUCAACUAGACAAAGUUGAGGCUACAACAGAAGCUAACAAGAAAUCUUUAAGCAACACAGGUUCAAAAUUUAUGAGGAAAUGUUUAAAAGUAGAUGAAUGUGUAUGUGUAUCUUCGAUUUGUGUAAAGACGUGGAUCAAUUUUAGUCUUCCUACAUCAGUUGUCUAUGAAUGUAUAUCUAAUUUAUAUCUUGCUCACUAUUCUUCAUGGGAGCGAAUGUGUGAUAGCUUCUUCGACAACAGGUUGAGGGAGUGGAUUCAGUAAAAAAGUAGAGGCAUUUUUGUAAGUGCGUCUUUUGCUAGAAUAGAAAGAAUUAAUAGAAAAUUAAUGCAAGGCAUUUAUGUAAAUGCAUUGCAUGUGUGUGCAUGUGCACUUGCAAUAUUGUGCAUUAUAAUUAAGUCAUUGCCAUAUGAAUAUGGAAGAAACUUAAUUUCAUGUGAUUCACUUGAAGAGAAUACUGCAUUGUGUAUUUGUGUUAAUAAAGUAUUGAUGGUGGUUACAAAGCAAAAGAAACGUUUUCCAGAUCAUUUAAAUCACUAGAAUUUUCUGUUGAUUGUCUAUAGACAAUAGUUGCAUAGGAAGUGUAGAUUCUAUUUCGUGUGAAGGUUGUUGAUGGAGGCAGUUCAGGUUAACAUGCAUGGACGCAAGAGAGUCCCAUCUAUUUAAUUUUGUUCCGAUGUCAUUACUGUAUUUAAAUGGGAAUUCUGAAGUUACUAUCUUGAUUAUAAGUGGUGACAUAAUUAAAUUGCUUCAUUUAUAUGCUGGAACUAUAAAUCUUACAUGAAAGCACUGAUUACUUAUAAGGUUUGUUCAUUUAUGUAUGUAAAAUGGAGAAUUUUAGCUCAUUGAGUGUAAAGGUAUUGUUCCAGUCUAAGUACAUUACCAUGAAAUGUAGCUAGUUUGAGCUUAUAUUAUCUCCUGUAUAUACAUUUCUUUCUUUACAUGUUGACUGAGAACUCCCUUCUAAUUAAAGUGAUGAAUAUGCGGCUUCUUGUGAUGGAAUAAACAAUGUUCAGGCUAAAAUGAAAAUUUCCUCAGCUUUUAUAUUUGGUUCUGUUAUCUGGAGGAUGGUAAGAUCACAUACUUCAUACAAUAAAGAUUAUGGUAUAUUUUGUAUCAGGUCCUAUUAAUAAAGAUUAGUGUAGCAUCAACAUGUACUUUUGAUUGCACGAGAAACGGAAGAAGAGUAAUUUUUCUUUUCCUCAAACUUCUUUUUACUAAAUAGCAAUAUGUUCUUAUACUUUAAUGUUAAACCAAUUGCAAAGCCUUUAGUCUGUGGACAAGUAACAAAAUUUGGGUGAAGAUGCCAUACUUCCUGCCAGUAAAAAUAUCAACCAUCAAAGUACAAAGUGCCGGAUAGAUGAGGACAUAAGAUUCCUAAUGAAUUUCCUUUCAAUUUUCUUAUGUUCUUGCUUAGGUUGUAGGAAAAACAGUGCUAUGCAUGCUCUCUAAAAACUAUUUGUUUCAUCCCCAAGGAACGGUAAAUUUUUGAUUAAGAGUAUGUAAAAAGGUCUUGUGUUGUGGGAUCAUAUUUGAUGUCCAAGUUGAUCGUUUAUAUUUCUAUAGAUAAGUAUUAAGAAUUACUUUUCUCUCUGAUUUAUGUGCCUGAAUUAUGUUGUUUCAUCAUAUGUACUCUUCUUCUGAUUUAUGUGCUUGAGUUAUGUUGUUUCAUCAUGUGCUUAGGCAUGAUUUUUUUAGAGUUGCGGUUAUUUUUGAAAAUUAUGGGUGUUUCUUACUUUCGCGUUUUUGUUGUUAAUAUUGAAUUAUGAUGAGAUUUAGGUGUUCCAGUUGCAUUGUUUGUCAAAAAGAGUGGUGGGUUGGCGUUCUUCAAAGUGUAGUUCUUAUGGAGAAGGGAAUUGUUAUUAUCAGGGUGGUCCUUCUCCAGUGAUACCUCCCCCCACAUAUGUUGCUCCCCUGCCUCGCAAAAACAGAGGAUUUCUUAAGGGAUUUAUUCCUGGGUGAUGCAGUGCUGAAAACUUCAGGAAGAUUAGUUGUAUCAAUCACGAAGGGUCAGUGCAUCCCAAGCCUCUCGAUGAUAUGACCUGAAUAUGCAGGUGAUGAAAUUUGAAUAAUGUUCCCAGGUCAACUCAAUAUAUUCAGGCGAACAAUAUUAGUGUAUUUGAAUUAUUAUUAUAUAUGUUUGGAUACAUUGUGAAAUUUAGCACAAUUGCUAGUACAAGACUUCAAUAUAUGUAGUACAAGACUUCAUUUUUUAAGUUUAUUGUAAAUCUAUAUAUUGAAUUAUAAAUUAGUUAAUUUGAUGUUUGAGAUUAUUUA